rnacentral:rRNA from 1 species
AUGGGACUCACCGGAAUGAAAGUCGCCGACGCCGGCCCUCCGGCCGGGAUUCUGGAAAUGGACUACCAAGAAUCGCCGGAGAAGAUGGCGUGGGAGGCCAAAGCUGCUGAAAACGGCAAAAAAGAUUGUUCCUCCGCCAUUGGCUGGCUGGAUCAGAAAAUGACACUUGUUAUCGCCAAAAGUCCUUGUCGAGAUUGUUCUUCUGCCAUUGGCUCGUUGGAUCAGAAAACGACGCUAGUUAGGAGUACUGAAGAUCAUUGUCUGUGCUCAGGAUGCAUGGAGGUUUGA